rnacentral:rRNA from 1 species
GCAAGUCGAACGGUAACGCGGGGCAACCUGCGACGAGUGGCGAACGGGUGAGUAAUGCAUCGGAACGUGCCCAGUAGUGGGGGAUAGCUCGACGAAAGUCGAAUUAAUACCGCAUACGACCUACGGGUGAAAGGGGGGGAUCGCAAGACCUCUCGCUAUUGGAGCGGCCGAUGUCAGAUUAGGUAGUUGGUGGGGUAAAAGCUCACCAAGCCUGUGAUCUGUAGCUGGUCUGAGAGGACGACCAGCCACACUGGGACUGAGACACGGCCCAGACUCCUACGGGAGGCAGCAGUGGGGAAUUUUGGACAAUGGGCGAAAGCCUGAUCCAGCCAUGCCGCGUGCGGGAAGAAGGCCUUCGGGUUGUAACCCGCUUUUGUCAGGGAAGAAAUGCCUCGGGAUAAUACCCUGGGGAGAUGCGGUACCU